UACAGAGGGGGCAAGCGUUGUUCGGAAUUACUGGGCGUAAAGGGCGCGUAGGCGGCCUUCUAAGUCGAACGUGAAAUCCCCGGGCUCAACCCGGGAACUGCGUCCGAUACUGGAAGGCUUGAAUCCGGGAGAGGGAUGCGGAAUUCCAGGUGUAGCGGUGAAAUGCGUAGAUAUCGGGAGGAACACCGGUGGCGAAGGCGGGUCUCUGGGCCGAUAUUGACGCUGAGGAGCGAAAGCGUGGGGAGCGAACAGG
rnacentral:rRNA from 1 species